rnacentral:misc_RNA from 1 species
AAGUCGUAACAAGGUUUCCGUAGGUGAACCUGCGGAAGGAUCAUUAGCGAGUAUGGCCCUCACGGGUCUAUCCAUUACAAACACAUUUGUGAACUAUUCAGGGGGUCGGAGCAGUGAAGCCCAAGGCCGAGCUGGCAGCGAAGGCUCCCUUUGUAAGCACGUCUUGAAGUAUUGAAGUCAUGUUGAAUAAUCAAUAAAA